UUGUUUGGGAAUGCAGCUCUAAGUGGGUGGUAAAUUCCAUCUAAAGCUAAAUAUUGGCGAGAGACCGAUAGCGAACAAGUACAGUGAUGGAAAGAUGAAAAGAACUUUGAAAAGAGAGUGAAAAAGUACGUGAAAUUGUUGAAAGGGAAGGGCUUGAGAUCAGACUUGGUAUUUUGUAUGUUACUUCUUCGGGGGUGGCCUCUACAGUUUAUCGGGCCAGCAUCAGUUUGGGCGGUAGGAGAAUUGCGUUGGAAUGUGGCACGGCUUCGGUUGUGUGUUAUAGCCUUCGUCGAUACUGCCAGCCUAGACUGAGGACUGCGGUUUAUACCUAGGAUGUUGGCAUAAUGAUCUUAAGUCGCCCGUCUUGAAACACGGACCAAGGAGUCUAACGUCUAUGCGAGUGUUUGGGUGUAAAACCCGUACGCGUAAUGAAAGUGAACGUAGGUGGGGGCCCGUAUGGGUGCACCAUCGACCGAUCCUGAUGUCUUCGGAUGGAUUUGAGUAAGAGCAUAGCUGUUGGGACCCGAAAGAUGGUGAACUAUGCCUGAAUAGGGUGAAGCCAGAGGAAACUCUGGUGGAGGCUCGUAGCGGUUCUGACGUGCAAAUCGAUCGUCGAAUU
rnacentral:rRNA from 1 species